AACUAACGCUGGCGGCGUGCCUAACACAUGCAAGUCGUACGAGAAAGUCGGCUUCGGCUGAUGAGUAAAGUGGCGCACGGGUGAGUAACGCGUGGAUAAUCUGCCCUUUAGUUGGGAAUAACGUACCGAAAGGUGCGCUAAUACCGGAUAAUACUGAAUGACUACUGUCGUUUAGUCAAAGAAGGCUUCUGUUUACAUGCUUUUGCUGAAGGAUGAGUCCGCGUACCAUUAGCUAGUUGGUAGGGUAAUGGCCUACCAAGGCGACGAUGGUUAGCUGGUCUGAGAGGAUGAUCAGCCACACUGGAACUGAGACACGGUCCAGACUCCUACGGGAGGCAGCAGUGAGGAAUAUUGCGCAAUGGGGGCAACCCUGACGCAGCAACGCCGCGUGAGUGAGGAAGGUUUUCGGACCGUAAAGCUCUGUCGAGCGGGAAGAAAUGCAUGGUGGCUAAUAUCCAUCAUGCUUGACGGUACCGCUAAAGGAAGCACC
rnacentral:rRNA from 1 species